rnacentral:lncRNA from 1 species
UGAUGUCAUAAGGGAAGGACUCUGAUCUGGUAGGGUUAGUGCUCUUAUAACACACACCACAGAGAGCUUCCUCUCUCUUUCUCUCUCUCUCACUCUCUCUCUCUCUCCUCUCUCAUUCCCUCUUCACACUUAGGAAAGGCGAUAUGAGCACAUAGCUAGAAGUUGGCCAGGAAGAGAGAUCUCACCAGAAGCUAACCAUGCUGGCAUCCUGAUCUCAGAUUUUCAGCCUUCAGAACUGUGAGAAAAUGAAUUUCUCUUAUUGAAGAAACCCAGUCUGAGUUGUUUUGUUAGGGCAGCCCAAGCAAACUAAAGAUAGUGUGUGCAUGUGGAUGUAACCAGACUCCAAAGGAUUGUAUAACAACAUAGCCUACCUCAUUGACUCAGUACCUGCAAGGAAGCUACCCACCAACCUUCAUAUCCACACCAUACUCCCUCUCACAGUGACUAAUGCAUGACUUUGCACAUGAAGUUACUUGGUCCUCUGGAAAGGAAGCCUGGAGCAAAAGUGAGGCCUCUGAAGAAAAGAGUAACCAGAAAAUGUGGGCCUUUUGUGAUCUUCAAGAGGUAAAUAUCUAUAUGUAUGUAUAUAUAUAUAUAUAUAUAUAUUAUAUAUAUAUAUAUAUUCUUUGUUUCC